UUGAUCAAGACAAUCAUUUUGGCCCAUAACAUGGCCUAAAUUAGUGCAAAAGCAUGGCUGGUUCAAGACUACAUUCUUUUAUCAAUUCUAGUCAACAAUAAUGGCUUGACUUUGAAGUUGAAGGACAUCAAUAAAUCUGAUCAUUUAUGAACAAGAUUGAUGUCUUCAAAACCAUUAAAACUCUUCAUUGGAUGAUGGAAAAUCAGCACGGAGUAAAAAGAAGUCAGCCUUGGAAAAAUGAAUUCAAAGAAGACUAGAAUCCCAAGUCAUUAAUUAGUCUUGAAUUUUUCUUUGUUAGUUUCUAUUUCCAAUGUUAAUUUUAAGUAAUUUACUUUUGAAUUUCAUGCUCCCUAUGACCUAUAAAUAGGGAUCCAUUCUACUUAUAAAAAUUAAAUUGAAAUUACAUGCUUGUUAAGGGUUUUCCUUAAUUUGCUAGUCUCUUUAAGGUAGUUUGGGCCUUGCAAGUUGCUUGCAAAACUUAUUAGGUUUAUCAACUAGGAUUCUUCCUCCUAGUUGUGGCACCUUGGCCUUUUCUUCUUUUUCUUCUGUAAUUCAAAGGUGUUGAGUUUGAUAUGCUCAAUGUUGUUGAGUUCAUCCAAGAUUGAAGAUUGGCUGAACUAGAUCAUCAAGGAACGAUCUUAAUCAAUGGGUAACCGUUGCUAUCAUUUUUGGUAUCAGAGCUAAGUUUUUCUUGAUUCAUUU
rnacentral:lncRNA from 1 species